rnacentral:rRNA from 1 species
CCUACGGGUGGCAGCAGUGAGGAAUAUUGGUCAAUGGGCGAGAGCCUGAACCAGCCAAGUAGCGUGAAGGAUGACUGCCCUACGGGUUGUAAACUUCUUUUAUAAAGGAAUAAAGUGAGGCACGUGUGCCUUUUUGUAUGUACUUUAUGAAUAAGGAUCGGCUAACUCCGUGCCAGCAGCCGCGGUAAUACGGAGGAUCCGAGCGUUAUCCGGAUUUAUUGGGUUUAAAGGGAGCGUAGGUGGAUUGUUAAGUCAGUUGUGAAAGUUUGGGGCUCAACCGUAAAAUUGCAGUUGAAACUGGCAGUCUGGAGUACAGGAGAGGUGGGCGGAAUUCGUGGUGUAGCGGUGAAAUGCUUAGAGAUCACGAAGAACUCCGAUUGCGAAGGCAGCUCACUGGACUGUAACUGACACUGAGGCUCGAAAGUGUGGGGAUCAAACAGGAUUAGAUACCCCAGUAGUC